UGAUGCAGAGGUACACCAUGCUUGGAAAUCUGGUGAACAGAUUGAUGAUGCCCCUCCUCAAUUCAGGGUCCAGGAAGGAGGAUCACCUUGGCCUAGAAGUAUGGAGUCCGAUGAUGAAUUCAAUCAGUUUGUAAUGAAUGAAUUGAUUGAUGCCUCUUCAUGAUGAGAAUGAUCCAUUUUUUGGUGCGGCACACAUGAUCAUUGAGGAUUCAGUUAAUCAUCCGGGUCGAAUUGGUUCCAUUGAGGGACAUGAUGUACUGGAUCGAGAAAGAGUGCUUUAUCAUGGUCUUCUGUACAAAGACUAUUUUUCAGAUAAUCCUACGUUUCGAGAGAAGACUUUUAGACGCAGGUUUCGUAUGAGGCGACCAGUAUUUCUUCGUAUAAUGAAUGCUGUUGGGGAACAUGAUGACUAUUUUGUGCAAAAGAGGAACGCAGCCGGUCAGCUUGGACUAUUUUGUCUACAGAAGGUCGUUGCAGCUUUUCGUAUGUUAGCUUAUGGAGUACCAGCCGAUGCUUUGGACGAGUACAUUUGUAUUGGUGAGAGUACAGCUUUAGAAAGCACUGAGAAAGUUUGUAGUUGCUGUUGUCGAGGUUUUUGGACCUGAGUAUUUGAGGAUGCCUAAUGAACAAGAUACCGCUAGGUUAUUUGCAACUGGAGCGAGCAGAGGAUUUCCUGUUAUGCUUGGGUUGAUUUUGCAAAAGGUGGAGGAUAGAGACUUGAUUGCAGAUGCAUGUCGCUCCUUGGAAGUGACGGCGAUGGACAUCUUUGCGCGGAACGGGUGGCAGUUUAGUAAUAGGCUUUGUGGCUUGUAAUUUGCUUCCUGUUUAGCUAUCAAAGUUUGUAAUAAGGGCCGGAUAUAACUCUUUGAUAUAGAGGCCGGGAUAUUGUUCAAUAUUUCUUUAUCUAAAAAA